UACGAAGGGUGCAACCGUUAUUCGGAAUCACUGGGCGUAAAGGGUGCGUAGACGGUAUGUUAAGUUCGUCGUUAAAGGCUUCGGCCUAACCGGAGUACCGCGAUGAAAACUGGCGUGCUAGAGGGUGAGAGAGAGAAGUGGAAUUCCUGGAGUAGCGGUAAAAUGCGUGGAUCUCAGGAGGAACACCAAUGGCGAAGGCAGCUUCUUGGCUCAUUCCUGACGUUGAGGCACGAAAGCGUGGGGAGCAAACAGG
rnacentral:rRNA from 1 species